UACGUAGGGACCGAGCGUUGUCCGGAAUCAUUGGGCGUAAAGAGCGUGUAGGCGGCCACUUAAGUCCUGCGUGAAAUCUUGCGGCUCAACCGCAAGCGGUCGUGGGAAACUGGGUGGCUAGAGUGCGGGAGAGGAGAGUGGGAAUUCCUGGUGUAGCGGUGGAAUGCGCAGAUAUCAGGAAGAACACCCGUGGCGAAGGCGGCUCUCUGGAACGCAACUGACGCUGAGACGCGAAAAGCGUGGGGAGCAAACAGG
rnacentral:rRNA from 1 species